GUAAUAAUUACAUUGUUACUGACGCUGACUGCAAUUACAAGAGGUUUUGAGUGAGUCCUAUCGACGGGCAAGCCCGCCGAGGAAACAAAUAGUGCGCAAAAGACAUGGGUAGAAUCGAGGGGACUAAAAGUCCAACGGGCUUCAGCCAAAGCCUGGCCCGCUGGUCCCAGUCCCCCGAUAGAAGGGUAAUGAUCCUUCCGCAGGUUCACCUACGGAAA
rnacentral:misc_RNA from 1 species